rnacentral:rRNA from 1 species
GGGUUGUGAGGUUAAGCGACUAAGCGUACACGGUGGAUGCCCUGGCAGUCAGAGGCGAUGAAGGGCGUGCUAAUCUGCGAUAAGCGCCGGUAAGGUGAUAUGAACCGUUAUAACCGGCGAUACCCGAAUGGGGAAACCCAGUGUGACUCGUCACACUAUCAUUAACUGAAUCCAUAGGUUAAUGAGGCGAACCGGGGGAACUGAAACAUCUAAGUACCCCGAGGAAAAGAAAUCAACCGAGAUUCCCCCAGUAGCGGCGAGCGAACGGGGAGGAGCCCAGAGCCUGAAUCAGCAUGUGUGUUAGUGGAAGCGUCUGGAAAGGCGCGCGAUACAGGGUGACAGCCCCGUACACAAAAGCGCAUGUGCUGUGAGCUCGAUGAGUAGGGCGGGACACGUGGUAUCCUGUCUGAAUAUGGGGGGACCAUCCUCCAAGGCUAAAUACUCCUGACUGACCGAUAGUGAACCAGUACCGUGAGGGAAAGGCGAAAAGAACCCCGGCGAGGGGAGUGAAAAAGAACCUGAAACCGUGUACGUACAAGCAGUGGGAGCCCCACCACCAAAGCAUUCUCUGGUGUUGAAGGCCCUGCAAAGCAGCAUCGCGGUGGCGGA